rnacentral:lncRNA from 1 species
UCUGUACUUUCGCCUUGCCCGGGGACAUGAACACCACUGUUUUUCAUACACAACUUGACAUCUCAUGCACCCGCUAAGAACUUGACGCCGUUGACAUGGCAACCCGAGUACAAUUCAACGCGAAUCGAUCCUAACUCUUCACUAUACGUGGGGGAAUUUGAUGCUUUCAGUUUAUUCACCUAAUAAUAUUAGAGAAACAUUUAAAUUUUUUAGUUGAAGCAACUUAAUUGGUACAAUAUAUAUGUUCAAUACAAAACACUUCAAACUUACAUAUUUGAGAAACCACUACGGAAACAAUUCACAGUGUUUCUUGGCAUACAAAUGUGAAGGAUGUGCCUGCUUCAUCAUAUUUUCAUGCUCGUCUAGGUAUGACAGUGUCUCAUCACAAUUGUUGAGUACAAACCAAUGUGGUACCUCCAUGUCCUUCUUGGAAAACGACUCGCCACAAAUCGGAUCUCCGAAUGGUCGAGCGAUUUGAGAAA